rnacentral:misc_RNA from 1 species
GUGAAGAACGUAGCGAAAUGCGAUAAGUAAUGUGAAUUGCAGAAUUCCGUGAAUCAUCGAAUCUUUGAACGCACAUUGCGCCCCCUGGUAUUCCGGGGGGGCAUGCCUGUCCGAGCGUCAUUGCAACCUUCAAGCGCGGCUUGUGUGUUGGGUCUCGUCCCCCGUGGACGGGCCCGAAAGGCAGUGGCGGCGUCCCGACAUGGUGCCCGAGCGUAUGGGAAUCCUCUUCCGCUCGAAUCGGCCCAUGCGGCGCUGGUCGUAACCAAAUUUUUUACCGGUUGACCUCGGAUCAGGUAGGGAUACCCGCUGAACUUAAGCAUAUCAAUAAGCGGAGGA